GCCGAUAUAGCUCAGCUGGUAGAGCAGCUGUUUUGUAAACAGCAGGUCGUCGGAUCAUACCCGGCUAUCGGCU
rnacentral:tRNA from 1 species